rnacentral:rRNA from 1 species
AGUUUGAUCCUGGCUCAGGAUGAACGCUAGCUACAGGCUUAACACAUGCAAGUCGAGGGGCAGCAUUUUAGUUUGCUUGCAAACUGAAGAUGGCGACCGGCGCACGGGUGAGUAACACGUAUCCAACCUGCCGAUAACUCCGGGAUAGCCUUUCGAAAGAAAGAUUAAUACCGGAUAGCAUACGAAUAUCGCAUGAUAUUUUUAUUAAAGAAUUUCGGUUAUCGAUGGGGAUGCGUUCCAUUAGUUUGUUGGCGGGGUAACGGCCCACCAAGACUACGAUGGAUAGGGGUUCUGAGAGGAAGGUCCCCCACAUUGGAACUGAGACACGGUCCAAACUCCUACGGGAGGCAGCAGUGAGGAAUAUUGGUCAAUGGACGAGAGUCUGAACCAGCCAAGUAGCGUGAAGGAUGACUGCCCUAUGGGUUGUAAACUUCUUUUAUAUGGGAAUAAAGUAUUCCACGUGUGGAAUUUUGUAUGUACCAUAUGAAUAAGGAUCGGCUAACUCCGUGCCAGCAGCCGCGGUAAUACGGAGGAUCCGAGCGUUAUCCGGAUUUAUUGGGUUUAAAGGGAGCGUAGGUGGAUUGUUAAGUCAGUUGUGAAAGUUUGCGGCUCAACCGUAAAAUUGCAGUCGAAACUGGCAGUCUUGAGUACAGUAGAGGUGGGCGGAAUUCGUGGUGUAGCGGUGAAAUGCUUAGAUAUCACGAAGAACUCCGAUUGCGAAGGCAGCUCACUAGACUGCAACUGACACUGAUGCUCGAAAGUGUGGGUAUCAAACAGGAUUAGAUACCCUGGUAGUCCACACAGUAAACGAUGAAUACUCGCUGUUUGCGAUAUACAGUAAGCGGCCAAGCGAAAGCAUUAAGUAUUCCACCUGGGGAGUACGCCGGCAACGGUGAAACUCAAAGGAAUUGACGGGGGCCCGCACAAGCGGAGGAACAUGUGGUUUAAUUCGAUGAUACGCGAGGAACCUUACCCGGGCUUAAAUUGCAUUUGAAUAAUCUGGAAACAGGUUAGCCGCAAGGCAAAUGUGAAGGUGCUGCAUGGUUGUCGUCAGCUCGUGCCGUGAGGUGUCGGCUUAAGUGCCAUAACGAGCGCAACCCUUAUCUUUAGUUACUAACAGGUCAUGCUGAGGACUCUAGAGAGACUGCCGUCGUAAG